GGCCGCCUGGCGAAAUGGCAUCGCGUCUGACUACGACCUUGUCCCUAGGACUUCGUGACAUCAGGAGAUCGCAGGUUCGACCCCUGCGGUGGUCA